rnacentral:rRNA from 1 species
AUUGAACGCUGGCGGCAUGCUUUACACAUGCAAGUCGAACGGCAGCGCGGGGCAACCUGGCGGCGAGUGGCGAACGGGUGAGUAAUAUAUCGGAACGUACCCAAGAGUGGGGGAUAACGUAGCGAAAGUUACGCUAAUACCGCAUACGAUCUAUGGAUGAAAGCAGGGGACCUUCGGGCCUUGUGCUCCUGGAGCGGCCGAUAUCUGAUUAGCUAGUUGGUGAGGUAAAGGCUCACCAAGGCGACGUUCAGUAGCUGGUCUGAGAGGACGACCAGCCACACUAGAACUGAGCCACGGUCCAGACUCCUACGGGAGGCAGCAGUGGGGAAUUUUGGACAAUGGGCGCAAGCCUGAUCCAGCAAUGCCGCGUGAGUGAAGAAGGCCUUCGGGUUGUAAAGCUCUUUUGUCAGGGAAGAAACGGUUGGGGCUAAUAUCCCCGGCUAAUGACGGUACCUGAAGAAUAAGCACCGGCUAACUACGUGCCAGCCGCCGCCGUAA